AGUGGACUGCCCAAUCCAAGUAAAAAGCUUGUUCGGAUUUUCUAAGAGGCAAACCCUCUCUCAAAGCAGCCUCAUCGAUUUGGAUAACAGUGAUGCCAUUCUUCUCAAGAUCCUCCACUUCAUCCUUAAUGGCCAAAGCAAUCUGGUAGCAGGUCUCAAAUCUGAAAAAAGGAAAACGAAUCACUUAUUGAAACUAUGAAAUAUAAAAUGACAUUUUCCCUAUCUUGCUCCUUUUAUUUUCAAUACCUAGGUUGGUCAUUUCGGACAAAGGACCAGUUGAGUAUGGUGACAGGGCCUGUAAGCAUUCCUUUCAUUGGGCGGGAAGUCAUGCUCUGAGCCAAAGCGGACCAGAAGACAGUCAUCGACUUAGGGCGACUCACAUCACCAUAGAUGAUUGGUGGCUUCACACAGCGAGAACCAUAAGAUUGCACCCAACCAUUGGCAGAGAACACAAAACCUGACAAUUGCUCUCCGAAGUAUUCGACCAUAUCAUUUCUCUACAAUAAUGAAUGACCACACAAGUUGGAUGUGUACAGGAUUAGUAAAUUAAUAUACAAGUAAACUCUAAAAAAAAAGAGUUUUCUGUAAACAAAUAAUGUUCCCUAGAUUUUUAUAUUGUAUGAGUGUGUGAGCGUAAAAAACUAAUUUGAUGGGGAGAAAAUCACCUCAGGCUCUCCAUGAACCAAAACAUCAAUAUCAAAUUCCUCUUGAAGUUUGACAACUUUGCUAAUUUCCUUCUUGAUGGCUUCAACAUAAUCAACUUCAGAG
rnacentral:lncRNA from 1 species